rnacentral:rRNA from 1 species
GACGGAGGAUGCAAGCGUUAUCCGGAAUGAUUGGGCGUAAAGCGUCCGCAGGUGGCAGUUCAAGUCUGCUGUCAAAGACCGGGGCUUAACUUCGGAAAGGCAGUGGAAACUGAACAGCUAGAGUAUGGUAGGGGCAGAGGGAAUUCCUGGUGUAGCGGUGAAAUGCGUAGAGAUCAGGAAGAACAUCGGUGGCGAAGGCGCUCUGGAACGGUACUGACGCUGAGACGCGAAAGCGUGGGGAGCGAACAGG